rnacentral:rRNA from 1 species
GGUUAAGCGACUAAGCGUACACGGUGGAUGCCCUGGCAGUCAGAGGCGAUGAAGGACGUGCUAAUCUGCGAUAAGCGUCGGUAAGGUGAUAUGAACCGUUAUAACCGGCGAUUUCCGAAUGGGGAAACCCAGUGUGAUUCGUCACACUAUCAUUAACUGAAUCCAUAGGUUAAUGAGGCGAACCGGGGGAACUGAAACAUCUAAGUACCCCGAGGAAAAGAAAUCAACCGAGAUUCCCCCAGUAGCGGCGAGCGAACGGGGAGCAGCCCAGAGCCUGAAUCAGUGUGUGUGUUAGUGGAAGCGUCUGGAAAGGCGCGCGAUACAGGGUGACAGCCCCGUACACAAAAAUACACAUACUGUGAGCUCGAUGAGUAGGGCGGGACACGUGGUAUCCUGUCUGAAUAUGGGGGGACCAUCCUCCAAGGCUAAAUACUCCUGACUGACCGAUAGUGAACCAGUACCGUGAGGGAAAGGCGAAAAGAACCCCGGCGAGGGGAGUGAAAAAGAACCUGAAACCGUGUACGUACAAGCAGUGGGAGCACAGAGCAAUCUGUGUGACUGCGUACCUUUUGUAUAAUGGGUCAGCGACUUAUAUUCUGUAGCAAGGUUAACCGAAUAGGGGAGCCGAAGGGAAACCGAGUCUUAACUGGGCGUUAAGUUGCAGGGUAUAGACCCGAAACCCGGUGAUCUAGCCAUGGGCAGGUUGAAGGUUGGGUAACACUAACUGGAGGACCGAACCGACUAAUGUUGAAAAAUUAGCGGAUGACUUGUGGCUGGGGGUGAAAGGCCAAUCAAACCGGGAGAUAGCUGGUUCUCCCCGAAAGCUAUUUAGGUAGCGCCUCGUGAAUUCAUCUCCGGGGGUAGAGCACUGUUUCGGCAAGGGGGUCAUCCCGACUUACCAACCCGAUGCAAACUGCGAAUACCGGAGAAUGUUAUCACGGGAGACACACGGCGGGUGCUAACGUCCGUCGUGAAGAGGGAAACAACCCAGACCGCCAGCUAAGGUCCCAAAGUCAUGGUUAAGUGGGAAACGAUGUGGGAAGGCCCAGACAGCCAGGAUGUUGGCUUAGAAGCAGCCAUCAUUUAAAGAAAGCGUAAUAGCUCACUGGUCGAGUCGGCCUGCGCGGAAGAUGUAACGGGGCUAAACCAUGCACCGAAGCUGCGGCAGCGACGCUUAUGCGUUGUUGGGUAGGGGAGCGUUCUGUAAGCCUGCGAAGGUGUGCUGUGAGGCAUGCUGGAGGUAUCAGAAGUGCGAAUGCUGACAUAAGUAACGAUAAAGCGGGUGAAAAGCCCGCUCGCCGGAAGACCAAGGGUUCCUGUCCAACGUUAAUCGGGGCAGGGUGAGUCGACCCCUAAGGCGAGGCCGAAAGGCGUAGUCGAUGGGAAACAGGUUAAUAUUCCUGUACUUGGUGUUACUGCGAAGGGGGGACGGAGAAGGCUAUGUUGGCCGGGCGACGGUUGUCCCGGUUUAAGCGUGUAGGCUGGUUUUCCAGGCAAAUCCGGAAAAUCAAGGCUGAGGCGUGAUGACGAGGCACUACGGUGCUGAAGCAACAAAUGCCCUGCUUCCAGGAAAAGCCUCUAAGCAUCAGGUAACAUCAAAUCGUACCCCAAACCGACACAGGUGGUCAGGUAGAGAAUACCAAGGCGCUUGAGAGAACUCGGGUGAAGGAACUAGGCAAAAUGGUGCCGUAACUUCGGGAGAAGGCACGCUGAUAUGUAGGUGAAGUCCCUCGCGGAUGGAGCUGAAAUCAGUCGAAGAUACCAGCUGGCUGCAACUGUUUAUUAAAAACACAGCACUGUGCAAACACGAAAGUGGACGUAUACGGUGUGACGCCUGCCCGGUGCCGGAAGGUUAAUUGAUGGGGUCAGCGCAAGCGAAGCUCUUGAUCGAAGCCCCGGUAAACGGCGGCCGUAACUAUAACGGUCCUAAGGUAGCGAAAUUCCUUGUCGGGUAAGUUCCGACCUGCACGAAUGGCGUAAUGAUGGCCAGGCUGUCUCCACCCGAGACUCAGUGAAAUUGAACUCGCUGUGAAGAUGCAGUGUACCCGCGGCAAGACGGAAAGACCCCGUGAACCUUUACUAUAGCUUGACACUGAACAUUGAGCCUUGAUGUGUAGGAUAGGUGGGAGGCUUUGAAGUGUGGACGCCAGUCUGCAUGGAGCCGACCUUGAAAUACCACCCUUUAAUGUUUGAUGUUCUAACGUUGACCCGUAAUCCGGGUUGCGGACAGUGUCUGGUGGGUAGUUUGACUGGGGCGGUCUCCUCCUAAAGAGUAACGGAGGAGCACGAAGGUUGGCUAAUCCUGGUCGGACAUCAGGAGGUUAGUGCAAUGGCAUAAGCCAGCUUGACUGCGAGCGUGACGGCGCGAGCAGGUGCGAAAGCAGGUCAUAGUGAUCCGGUGGUUCUGAAUGGAAGGGCCAUCGCUCAACGGAUAAAAGGUACUCCGGGGAUAACAGGCUGAUACCGCCCAAGAGUUCAUAUCGACGGCGGUGUUUGGCACCUCGAUGUCGGCUCAUCACAUCCUGGGGCUGAAGUAGGUCCCAAGGGUAUGGCUGUUCGCCAUUUAAAGUGGUACGCGAGCUGGGUUUAGAACGUCGUGAGACAGUUCGGUCCCUAUCUGCCGUGGGCGCUGGAGAACUGAGGGGGGCUGCUCCUAGUACGAGAGGACCGGAGUGGACGCAUCACUGGUGUUCGGGUUGUCAUGCCAAUGGCACUGCCCGGUAGCUAAAUGCGGAAGAGAUAAGUGCUGAAAGCAUCUAAGCACGAAACUUGCCCCGAGAUGAGUUCUCCCUGACUCCUUGAGAGUCCUGAAGGAACGUUGAAGACGACGACGUUGAUAGGCCGGGUGUGUAAGCGCAGCGAUGCGUUGAGCUAACCGGUACUAAUGAACCGUGAGGCUUAACCUU